rnacentral:sRNA from 1 species
GUUUAAGCUCACAUUAUUUGAAGUACUUCAGUUCCUAUCCCCAUGAAAAUUGUAAACAGCAGCUAAAAAAAAAAAAAAAAAGACUACAGUUAGUCAUUAUCCAAUUUGAUGAUUUAUGGUCCAACACUAAUGCUCAUUUUGUUUGUUUGUUUUACGAACAUUUGGUGGAUACCACAGUGAAAACUGCACUUAAAAAAAAAAAAAAAAAAAAACGCUGAAAGAGGAAGGAGAUAUCAAAAAGGUCUGAAUAGACAACAGGCAAAUCUGCUUCCACCUACCAAAAGAGUUUUAGGUUGGCAGACAGAUGGGUGCCUUAUUUUCUGUGAAACUGAAGUUUUAAACACUGGCCAGAAAAUGUUUGAUUGCCAUUUCAACACAUGGAAAUAGUUACAUUGAUGCCUAAAUUGCCAUUUUCUGCAAAAAGCUGUGCAAUGCUGGUGUCAAAGACUAGACAGUCGCUAUUCAUAAUGGCUGUUGCAAUUCCUUCAUGAAUAGAUCGAGGAGUCGCUUCCCAAGUCAAUCGUCGCCUAUGACCAUUUAGCUCAAGUCGACUAACAUGAAGUGAAAGCCAAAACAGGACUGCAUCAUCACCCAGUCAACAGCACCAGGAAGAUUAAUGUCUGUAGCAAGGAAAACUAUAUCCUCUCCCUGUAGGGUUGUAAUGGACUUAUGCUGAUGCAUCAGAUGGGGCAUUACAGCAUCCAGAGAGCCUUGCCAUUUACAGGAAGCACCAGGGCAC